rnacentral:rRNA from 1 species
AUUGAACGCUGGCGGCAUGCCUUACACAUGCAAGUCGAACGGUAACGCGGGGGCAACCCUGGCGACGAGUGGCGAACGGGUGAGUAAUACAUCGGAACGUACCCAGUAGUGGGGGAUAGCUCGGCGAAAGCCGGAUUAAUACCGCAUACGACCUAUGGGUGAAAGCGGGGAUCGCAAGACCUCGCGCUAUUGGAGCGGCCGAUGUCGGAUUAGCUAGUUGGUGAGGUAAAGGCUCACCAAGGCUACGAUCCGUAGCUGGUCUGAGAGGACGACCAGCCACACUGGGACUGAGACACGGGCCCAGACUCCUACGGGAGGCAGCAGUGGGGAAUUUGGACAAUGGGCGAAAGCCUGAUCCAGCCAUGCCGCGUGUGUGAAGAAGGCC